rnacentral:rRNA from 1 species
UCUCCUGGAAAACGGGUGGUAAUGCCGGAUGCUCCAGUCCAUCGCAUGGUGGUCUGGGAAAGAUUCCAUCGGUAUGGGAUGGGGUCGCGUCCUAUCAGCUUGAUGGCGGGGUAACGGCCCACCAUGGCUUCGACGGGUAGCCGGCCUGAGAGGGCGACCGGCCACAUUGGGACUGAGAUACGGCCCAGACUCCUACGGGAGGCAGCAGUGGGGAAUAUUGCACAAUGGGCGCAAGCCUGAUGCAGCGACGCCGCGUGCGGGAUGGAGGCCUUCGGGUUGUAAACCGCUUUUGAUCGGGAGCAAGCCCUUCGGGGUGAGUGUACCCUUCGAAUAAGCACCGGCUAACUACGUGCCAGCAGCCGCGGUAAUACGUAGGGUGCAAGCGUUAUCCGGAAUUAUUGGGCGUAAAGGGCUCGUAGGCGGUUCGUCGCGUCCGGUGUGAAAGCCCAUCGCUUAACGGUGGGUCUGCGCCGGGUACGGGCGGGCUGGAGUGCGGUAGGGGAGACUGGAAUUCCCGGUGUAACGGUGGAAUGUGUAGAUAUCGGAAAGAACACCA